rnacentral:rRNA from 1 species
AACGAACGCUGGCGGCAUGCCUAACACAUGCAAGUCGAACGAGACCUUCGGGUCUAGUGGCGCACGGGUGCGUAACGCGUGGGAAUCUACCCUUGGGUUCGGAAUAACGGUUAGAAAUGACUGCUAAUACCGGAUGAUGACGUAAGUCCAAAGAUUUAUCGCCCAAGGAUGGGCCCGCGUAAGAUUAGCUUGUUGGUGGGGUAAUGGCCUACCAAGGCGACGAUCUUUAGCUGGUCUGAGAGGAUGAUCAGCCACACUGGGACUGAGACAUGGCCCAGACUCCUACGGGAGGCAGCAGUGGGGAAUAUUGGGCAAUGGGCGAAAGCCUGAUCCAGCAAUGCCGCGUGAGUGAUGAAGGCCUUAGGGUUGUAAAGCUCUUUUACCAGGGAUGAUAAUGACAGUACCUGGAGAAUAAGCUCCGGCUAACUCCGUGCCAGCCGCCGCGGUAA